rnacentral:rRNA from 1 species
UGCAGUCGAGCGAACAGAUGAAGUGCUUGCACUUCUGACGUUAGCGGCGAACGGGUGAGUAACACGUAAGGAAUCUACCUAUAAGCGGGGGAUAACAUUCGGAAACGGGUGCUAAUACCGCAUAAUAUCUUCUUCCGCAUGGAAGAAGAUUGAAAGACGGCUCUGCUGUCACUUAUAGAUGACCUUGCGGUGCAUUAGUUAGUUGGUGGGGUAACGGCCUACCAAGACGAUGAUGCAUAGCCGACCUGAGAGGGUGAUCGGCCACAUUGGGACUGAGACACGGCCCAAACUCCUACGGGAGGCAGCAGUAGGGAAUCUUCCGCAAUGGGCGAAAGCCUGACGGAGCAAUGCCGCGUGAGUGAAGAAGGCCUUCGGGUCGUAAAACUCUGUUAUAAGAGAAGAACAAAUUGUAGAGUAACUGCUACAGUCUUGACGGUAUCUUAUCAGAAAGCCACGGCUAACUACGUGCCAGCAGCCGCGGUAAUACGUAGGUGGCAAGCGUUGUCCGGAUUUAUUGGGCGUAAAGGGAGCGCAGGUGGUUUCUUAAGUCUGAUGUGAAAGCCCACGGCUUAACCGUGGAGGGUCAUUGGAAACUGGGAAACUUGAGUACAGAAGAGGAAUGUGGAACUCCAUGUGUAGCGGUGGAAUGCGUAGAUAUAUGGAAGAACACCAGUGGCGAAGGCGACAUUCUGGUCUGUUACUGACACUGAGGCUCGAAAGCGUGAGGAGCAAACAGGAUUAGAUACCCUGGUAGUCCACGCCGUAAACGAUGAGUGCUA